rnacentral:rRNA from 1 species
CCGACGGUGAGGGGCGAAAGCUGGGGGCACGAACCGGAUUAGAUACCCGGGUAGUCCCAGCCGUAAACGAUGCUCGCUAGGUGUCUGGGAUGGUGCGACCGUUUCAGGUGCCGCAGGGAAGCCGUGAAGCGAGCCACCUGGGAAGUACGGCCGCAAGGCUGAAACUUAAAGGAAUUGGCGGGGGAGCGCUACAACGGGUGGAGCCUGCGGUUUAAUUGGACUCAACGCCGGAAAACUCACCUGGGGC